GAUGAACGCUGGCGGCGUGCCUAAUACAUGCAAGUCGAGCGAACAGACGAUGAGCUUGCUCCUCUGACGUUAGCGGCGGACGGGUGAGUAACACGUGGAUAACCUUCCUAUAAGACUGGGAUAACUUCGGGAAACCGGAGCUACUACCGGAUAAUAUAUUGAACCGCAUGGUUCAAUAGUGAAAGACGGUUUUGCUGUCACUUAUAGCUGGUUCCGCGCCGCAUUAGCUAGGUGGUAAGGUAACGGCUUGACAAGGCAACGAUGCGUAUCCGACCUGAGAGGGUUAUCCGCCACACUUGAACUGGGAAACGGUCCAGACUCCCACGGGAAGCAGGAGUAGGGAAACUUCCGCAAUGGGCGGCAGCCUGACGGAGCAACGCCGGGUGAGUUAUGAAAGUCUUCGGAGUGUAAAACUCUGUUAUUAGGGAAGAACAAAUGUGUAAGUAACUAUGCACGUCUUUACGGUACCUAAUCAGAAAGCCACGGCUAACUACGUG
rnacentral:rRNA from 1 species